GACGAACGCUGGCGGCGUGCUUAACACAUGCAAGUCGAACGGAAAGGCCCUUCGGGGUACUCGAGUUGCGAACGGGUGAGUAACACGUGGGUGAUCUUCCCUGCACUUUGGGAUAAGCCUGGGAAACUGGGUCUAAUACCGAAUAGGACCACGCGCUUCAUGGUGUGUGGUGGAAAGCUUUUGCGGUGUGGGAUGGGCCCGCGGCCUAUCAGCUUGUUGGUGGGGUAAUGGCCUACCAAGGCGACGACGGGUAGCCGGCCUGAGAGGGUGACCGGCCACACUGGGACUGAGAUACGGCCCAGACUCCUACGGGAGGCAGCAGUGGGGAAUAUUGCACAAUGGGCGCAAGCCUGAUGCAGCGACGCCGCGUGAGGGAUGACGGCCUUCGGGUUGUAAACCUCUUUCAAUAGGGACGAAGCGCAAGUGACGGUACCUAUAGAAGAAGCACCGGCCAACUACGUG
rnacentral:rRNA from 1 species